rnacentral:lncRNA from 1 species
CUGAAAUGUGAACUCAAACCUUCAGACGUGAAGCUGGAAAUGAAUUUCCUUGGCUUCGAUGUCUCCAUCUCAAAAAUGACUGUAUUUUUGGGAAGGUUGCUUCAGAGUCCACGUUCUAUUGGCCAUUCCACUGAUUCCGCAUCUCCUUGACAAAUGAAUCUUGGGCCAAAAGUUCAUUGUGGGGACGCUGUUCAGUAGUUCCAUGAGAGCAGGAAGCAGAUCUAUCUUACUGAGGACACUCCUGGUGCCAAACUAUCUGGGGAAGAGGAAACCAAGAAUCCAGUGCAGUCUUAGAAGAUGGGGGAGUUGCUAAUGGAAGGAACCAGGUCUCUGAAAGACUUCAUAGAACACAGUACCACACUUUGUGACAUCCCCUGACAACCUCAUUAGACUGUGACAUAGGCAAGAAAUAAAUCUUGGUUGUGUUUGCCCCUGAAAUUCCAGGGCUGUUUGUUACAAUGGUUAACCUCUUCUGACAAAUUUCAUAAAAUUCCAUUUACCCUCGCUUUUCCUCACUACAUAUUAUUCAGUUUAAGAUUCGGUUCACUGUCCUCCAGGAAGCCUUCCUUGACUUCCCUGUGGCUGGCUUUUGUGUUCCCAUGGCACCAUGUGCACUGUUUCAUCAGGUACUAACCACGUUGUAUUAUAUACUGUCUCCCUCAUGUGACUAAGUUUUUCCUGAGGUCAGAAACUAUCUAUUUUUCUUUUUUGUGUCUUUAUGGCCUAUUACAAUGUCUGGCGCCACAAUAAAUCUUUGUUAGAUAAAUAAACCAUAGACAGCAGGCAGUUCAGGUUUUAAUGGAGGGCAACAGUAUUUCUUUGCAAUGGUUAACAAUACUAGUAGAAACAGAAUAUGAAAUGAAAAGUGGGGAAAGGCUUCAUGAGUAUGAAUUUAUUUGAAUGAAGAAAAAUUUCAAUGUUACUUAGGCUGAAUAAAGACAAUGAUCAUUAAGUAAUUCUAGAAAAUAGAGAUUAUUCUAGAUAAAUGAUCCUUAUAAGAUUCCUUUGAUUCCUGUUAAUUGCAAUCCAAUACAUAAAUAUUGAAGGCUUAUUAUGAGCAAAUUACUCUUUUUCGUAUGACAAAGAUGAAAAUACUUCUGCCGGUUAACAUUUUAUAAUUCUAUGACCUUAUGAUUCUGAACACCUACGUAAGAUAUUUUUAAACCUUGACAGUUACAUUGGGAGAUUUACAUCAAGAACCAGCACUAUGGAGUCAGAAUUUGCAUGGAGUUCUAUCUUCAAAGUUUUACUACAAACCGGUGCCACUGGGUCAUUUUUAGAUUCAGACCAUUGGUUAGUGGCUUCUCCCCACAGUGAACCGGACAGUCAUGUGCCACUUGGCAGUUUUCAAGGUAUGAGUUUAUUCUGUUUGAUGUUCUGUCAAUUUCUCCAGGGGACAAGCAGCCAGAUGGUUAAUUGCCCUUCCUUAAGCACAGACGCACUCACAGAAAAGGUGUGAGGAAGGACCCCUCCGAAAGAGGAGCCUCUCACAGAGCAGGCUGAGCCGCUGUACAGAGUUGAGAUUGUUGACCCACUGAUUGUGCCUGAAAGGCUUUUCAGCCACACAAAACCCUGGGCUUCCUCAUUAGCAUAUCAGAGGUGGCGCAGUGGUGGGAAAUACUGCAGGCAACAAAGAAUGUGGUUCAGUGGCAUUGUCUCAUUGGUGCUUACAGAAGCAGAAAAAAUGAUAAUCAGGCCGGAGUUGCAGUGAUGGACAGAUGUUGACAUAUUUUCUUGGGCAACCAAUGUCUUCCACUCCCCCUCCAUCAGUUGACCCAUUCUCAAGACUCCCCGCCCCUCCAAGGCACAGUUCCUCAACCAAUACACAAGGAAAAGCCACGACACAAUCAAAACCUCUCUUGAGCUGAAACGAAGACACAGUUUCAGCUUUAACUUGAACCAUGCCUGGAAGGGAUUUGUCAUUUUUCUCAGACUUGAAAGUCUUAUUUGGAACAUAACUUGAUGAUAAAUAGGAGAGUCAGCUGCCAGUUACUAAUACCAUCAUAGAGACUGAGUCACUGUUGAUGUCACCGCGCCUCUUUGCAGGAUCAGCCAUCUUAUUAUUUUAUACUGAAAGGGAAAAAAGAGGUUUAGUGAAAAAGUCACUUUACAUUCUUAUUGUCCUAAAUUUUUCCCAUCUCUGAAGUUUG